rnacentral:rRNA from 1 species
GACGUUGAUAGGUUGGAUGUGGAAUGGCGGUGACGCAUGAAGCUGACCAAUACUAAUUGCUCGUGAGGCUUGACUAUACGACACCCAAGCAGUUG